ensembl:snRNA U2 U2 spliceosomal RNA
AUUGCUUCUCAGCCUUUUGGCUAAGAUCAAGUGUAGUAGUACAAACAUGUAAUAAUAAAUAAAUUUAAAAUAUU